rnacentral:rRNA from 1 species
AACGAACGCUGGCGGCAUGCCUAACACAUGCAAGUCGAACGCUACCUUCGGGUCUAGUCGCGCAUGGGUGCGUUACCGGUGGGGUCCUGCCCUUGGAUUCGGCAUAACUCCCCGAAAGGGGUGCUAAUACGAGAUAAUAUCUUCGAACCAAAGAUUUAUCGCCUUUGGAGGGGCGUGAGUUCGAUUAGCUAGUUAGUAGGGUAAAAGACUACCAAGGCGUCGUUCCCUAGCUGGUCUGGGAGGACGAUCAGCAACACUGGUACUGGGACACGGCCGGGACUAUUAGGGGAGGGAGCAGUGCGGAAUAUUGGACGAUGGGCGAAAGCCUGAUGCUGCAAGGCCGCGUAAGUGAUGUAGGCCUUAGGGUUGUAAAGCUCUUUUACCCGGGAUGAUAAUGACAGUACCGGGAGAAUAAGCGCCGGCUAACUCCGUG